rnacentral:lncRNA from 1 species
AUUAUCCUCAUAUUUUCUUUUUUCUUUUUGACAAAACAAAUAACCUCUCUUUUUCCCAUUUCUCUAAAACUGUAAAAUUACCGCAUCACUUUCUUGAACCGUUAAUUUCUUCAUUUUCUGGCUACUUUUUCUCUUUUUUCCCAUUUUUAACUCUUCUAUUUUUUCAUAUCAGCUCUUCAUUCUAUUGUUUCGUACUUUCAUCAUCGAAAUACCGUGCCACAAUUUAUAUUAUAAAUUCAUGGGUUAAUGGGUAAAAUAUUUUUUAUUUUAUAAAUAAGUAAAUUAUUUUUUAUUAAUAUGAGUAAUAUUCAUUCUGAUCAAAUGAG